rnacentral:rRNA from 1 species
UGAGUAACCUGCCCUUCACUCUGGGAUAACUCCGGGAAACCGGGGCUAAUACUGGAUAUGACUCGAACAGGCAUCUGUUUCGGGUGGAAAGAUUAUUGGUGGAGGAUGGACUCGCGGCCUAUCAGCUUGUUGGUGAGGUAAUGGCUCACCAAGGCGACGACGGGUAGCCGGCCUGAGGAGGGCGAUCGGCCACAGUUGGGACUGAGACACGGCCCAGACCUCCGUACGGGGAGCA